GAUUUUGUAAAUCUAAAUUGAUUAUUCUUAUAGUAUCAGAAAAGAUCUCUCAUCCUAAAUCUCCA
rnacentral:tRNA from 1 species